GAUGAACGCUGGCGGCGUGCCUAAUACAUGCAAGUCGAGCGAAUGGAUUGAGAGCUUGCUCUUAUGAAGUUAGCGGCGGACGGGUGAGUAACACGUGGGUAACCUGCCCAUAAGACUGGGAUAACUCCGGGAAACCGGGGCUAAUACCGGAUAACAUUUUGAACCGCAUGGUUCGAAAUUGAAAGGCGGCUUCGGCUGUCACUUAUGGAUGGACCCGCGUCGCAUGAGCUAGUUGGUGAGGUAACGGCUCACCAAGGCAACGAUGCGUAGCCGACCUGAGAGGGUGCUCGGCCACACUGGGACUGAGACACGGCCCAGACUCCUACGGUAGGCAGCAGUAGGGAAUCUUCCGCAAUGGACGAAAGUCUGACGGAGCAACGCCGCGUGAGUGAUGAAGGCUUUCGGGUCGUAAAACUCUGUUGUUAGGGAAGAACAAGUGCUAGUUGAAUAAGCUGGCACCUUGACGGUACCUAACCAGAAAGCCACGGCUAACUACGUGCCAGCCGCCGCAGUAA
rnacentral:rRNA from 1 species